GACGAUGGCCGAAGUGGCAGAAGUGCAAUUGAAGUUGACGGGAAAAACGAUCGACACCUAAUAGCAUUAUCGUACAUUGAAGGUGGGAGUCGAGAUUAAAAAUCAUGCGCGGAUUUAAAGCUGUCACGAGUCCAGCGAGGGCAACCGGUCCAAAUUUUCGUCUAUUCAACUCUACACGAACCUUAUAAUUGCAACAACGAGAUCUGGCCGUUGCAGGCAUCGACGUUAGCACAUGUCCAAGAGCACAUAGCAAUAGAGAGCGGAAAAUACUGAUCAAACUCACUAGCACGUUCGCGUCGGCAGUAGUAUAACUGAACAAUACCGGCACCCGAGGGCAACGCAAGCGAUCUAUCCUAUUGUCGCCAUCUUAGUGCGUUAUUCAAUAGACAGUUGCGGAGAAAGGACGAGCAGGGAAUAACGAGCCACGACCGAGCGGACGACACCACAAGGGAACACAGGCAACGACGGGAACGCAACGACGUCCCACCUACGAUUCAUCUAUCUCUGAGUGUGCAUGUGCGCAUCUGCGUGUACACGUUGUGGGUGGAUGCUCGGACUGAUUUCUUUGGUGCAAAAUCCCUGAGCGAAACAAAUUGACGGAACAUAGCACUAGUGAUAGUGGUAGAAAGACAUGCAGACUACAUUGCUAGUAUGCUAACUAAGCAACUUAUCGUUACGGCACAGUAACGCUCUGCUUUUACUGCGCGAGCAGCAUUGAAUCACGCGUCGUGCAAACGAAAUGGAGAGAAGCCAAAAAAAAAAAACUCAGAUCUGCCAAAAAAUUAGGCAAUUACUCUGAAGCUACAUAAGUAUUUGGUAGAAGUGUGAAAUAAGCCCUAACGGAAUAUAGCUGUAUGUGCAUAUGUGGUACGUAUAUAUAUAUAUAUAUAGGAGGACGAGGUCUGGGAAUCCCCGAUUGACUAACAGAGCUGGAAAAAAAUUUCAAUGGGUAAAAUAACGGCGUGAUCCAUUACGGAUCUAUAGCUAUCUGCUUGAAACGGGAUAUUCAUUGUUGUCUAUAUUUUCCUGCACUUUUUUACAUUAACAAACGCUGCUGCGCCAUGCUGGUCGAAAGAAGCUUUUGAACAACAUAGCGCAGUGCAGUCUCUAUGGCAGGAUCUAACGAAGAUGUGAGACAUACAUCGGUCUACUUGG